rnacentral:rRNA from 1 species
AAAUUGAAGAGUUUGAUCAUGGCUCAGAUUGAACGCUGGCGGCAGGCCUAACACAUGCAAGUCGAACGGUAACAGGAAGCAGCUUGCUGCUUCGCUGACGAGUGGCGGACGGGUGAGUAAUGUCUGGGAAACUGCCUGAUGGAGGGGGAUAACUACUGGAAACGGUGGCUAAUACCGCAUAACGUCGCAGGACCAAAGAGGGGGACCUUCGGGCCUCUUGCCAUCAGAUGUGCCCAGAUGGGAUUAGCUUGUUGGUGAGGUAACGGCUCACCAAGGCGACGAUCCCUAGCUGGUCUGAGAGGAUGACCAGCCACACUGGAACUGAGACACGGUCCAGACUCCUACGGGAGGCAGCAGUGGGGAAUAUUGCACAAUGGGCGCAAGCCUGAUGCAGCCAUGCCGCGUGUAUGAAGAAGGCCUUCGGGUUGUAAAGUACUUUCAGCGGGGAGGAAGGUGUUGUGGUUAAUAACCGCAGCAAUUGACGUUACCCGCAGAAGAAGCACCGGCUAACUCCGUGCCAGCAGCCGCGGUAAUACGGAGGGUGCAAGCGUUAAUCGGAAUUACUGGGCGUAAAGCGCACGCAGGCGGUCUGUCAAGUCGGAUGUGAAAUCCCCGGGCUCAACCUGGGAACUGCAUUCGAAACUGGCAGGCUGGAGUCUUGUAGAGGGGGGUAGAAUUC